AUACGGAAGGCGCGAACGUUGUUCGGAAUCACUGGGCAUCAAGAGCUCGUAGGCGGUUUGUCAAGUCAGUGGUGAAAUCCCUCGGCUCAACCGAGGAAUUGCCAUUGAAACUGGCCGACUCGAGGGCAGGAGGGGAGAGCGGAAUUCCUGGUGGAGCGGUGAAAUGCGUAGAUAUCAGGAGGAACGCCGGCGGCGAAAGCGGCUCUCUGGCCUGUUCCUGACGCUGAGGAGCGAAAGCUAGGGUAGCAAACAGGAUUAGAAACCCCAGUAGUCC
rnacentral:rRNA from 1 species